GGGCUUGCCCACUAUCUCUUACCCAUGUCUUUUGAGUACU
rnacentral:rRNA from 1 species